rnacentral:rRNA from 1 species
AUUGAACGCUGGCGGCAGGCUUAACACAUGCAAGUCGAGCGGGGUGAUGGUGCUUGCACUAUCACUUAGCGGCGGACGGGUGAGUAAUGCUUAGGAAUCUGCCUAUUAGUGGGGGACAACAUCUCGAAAGGGAUGCUAAUACCGCAUACGUCCUACGGGAGAAAGCAGGGGAUCACUUGUGACCUUGCGCUAAUAGAUGAGCCUAAGUCGGAUUAGCUAGUUGGUGGGGUAAAGGCCUACCAAGGCGACGAUCUGUAGCGGGUCUGAGAGGAUGGUCCGCGACACGGGGAAUGAGACACGGCCCAGACUCCUACGGGAGGCAGCAGGGGGGAAGAUUGGACAAUGGGGGGAACCCUGAUCCAGCCAUGCCGCGUGUGUGAAGAAGGCCUUAUGGUUGUAAAGCACUUUAAGCGAGGAGGAGGCUCUUUUGGUUAAUACCCAAGAUGAGUGGACGUUACUCGCAGAAUAAGCACCGGCUAACUCUGUGCCAGCAGCCGCGGUAA